rnacentral:rRNA from 1 species
AUUGAACGCUGGCGGCAGGCUUAACACAUGCAAGUCGAGCGGUAACAGGAAUAGCUUGCUAUUUGCUGACGAGCGGCGGACGGGUGAGUAAUGCUUGGGAAUAUGCCUUAUGGUGGGGGACAACAGUUGGAAACGACUGCUAAUACCGCAUAAUGUCUACGGACCAAAGGGGGGGAUCUUCGGACCUCUCGCCAUUUGAUUAGCCCAAGUGAGAUUAGCUAGUUGGUAAGGUAAUGGCUUACCAAGGCGACGAUCUCUAGCUGGUUUGAGAGGAUGAUCAGCCACACUGGGACUGAGACACGGCCCAGACUCCUACGGGAGGCAGCAGUGGGGAAUAUUGCACAAUGGGGGAAACCCUGAUGCAGCCAUGCCGCGUGUGUGAAGAAGGCCUUCGGGUUGUAAAGCACUUUCAGUUGUGAGGAAAGGUGUGUAGUUAAUAGCUGCAUACUGUGACGUUAACAACAGAAGAAGCACCGGCUAACUUCGUGCCAGCAGCCGCGGUAAUACGAGGGGUGCAAGCGUUAAUCGGAAUUACUGGGCGUAAAGCGUUCGUAGGCGGUUGAAUAAGCAAGAUGUGAAAGCCCAGGGCUCAACCUUGGAACUGCAUUUUGAACUGUUCGACUAGAGUACUGUAGAGGGGGGUAGAAUUUCA